rnacentral:rRNA from 1 species
CCUACGGGCGGCUGCAGUGAGGAAUAUUGGUCAAUGGCCGGAAGGCUGAACCAGCCAAGCCGCGUGAAGGACGCAGGUGCCAAGCAUUGUAAACUUCUUUUGUCAAGGGACAAAAUCAGGCUCGAGAGCCUGACCGCAGGUCCUUUAAUAAAAAGCAUCGGCUAACUCCGUGCCAGCAGCCGCUGUAAUACGGAGGAUUCGAGCGUUAUCCGGAUGUAUUGGGUUUAACGGGUGCGUAGGCGGACUGUUAAGUCAGCGGUAAAAGCCCGGGGCUCAACCCCGGCGAGCCGUUGAAACUGGCUGUCUUGAGAUGUCGAGAGGUAUGCGGAAUGCGCAGUGUAGCGGUGAAAUGCUUAGAUAUUGCGCAGAACUCCGAUUGCGAAGGCAGCAUACCGGCGGCGAUCUGACGCUGAGGCACGAAAGCGUGGGUAUCGAACAGGAUUAGAUACCCGUGUAGUC